rnacentral:rRNA from 1 species
UACGUAGGGGGCAAGCGUUGUCCGGAAUCAUUGGGCGUAAAGAGCGUGUAGGCGGCUUGGUAAGUCCGCUGUGAAAGUCCAGGGCUCAACCCUGGAAAGCCGGUGGAAACUGUCAAGCUUGAGUCCGGAAGAGGCGAGUGGAAUUCCUGGUGUAGCGGUGAAAUGCGCAGAUAUCAGGAGGAACACCAAUGGCGAAGGCAGCUCGCUGGGACGGUACUGACGCUGAGACGCGAAAGCGUGGGGAGCGAUCCGG